CUCCCACCCUAUGUUAUUAUUACCUUGUUGCUUUGGCGGGCCGCCAGGCUCCGGUCAGGCUAUNGGGUUCGGCUGGUAAGCCGCCCGCCAGAGGACCCAAUAUUCCUGAUUAUCAGUGUCGUCAGAGUAAUAAGAUAAUAGUUAAAACUUUCAACAACGGAUCUUUUGGUUCUGGCAUCGAUGAAGAAGGCAGCGAAAUGCGAUAAGUAAUGUGAAUUGCAGAAUUCAGUGAAUCAUCGAAUCUUUGAACGCACAUUGCGCCCCUUGGUAUUCCGAGGGGCAUGCCUGUUCGAGCGUCAUUACAACCAUCAAGCAUUGCUUGGUAUUGGGUUCCGNUGCUCACCCAGCGGGCCUUAAAGUCAGUGGCGGUGCCGUCGGGCCCUGAGCGUAGUAAACCUCCUCGNUAUAGGGACCCGGNGGACGCUGGCCAUCGACCCCCUCA
rnacentral:rRNA from 1 species